rnacentral:miRNA from 1 species
UCACAGCUUUUUGUGUUUACA